CCUACGGGUGGCAGCAGUGGGGAAUAUUGGGCAAUGGGCGAAAGCCUGACCCAGCAAUGCCGCGUGAAUGAAGAAGGUCUUAGGAUUGUAAAAUUCUGUCCUAUGGGAAGUAAAAAAUGACGGUACCAUAGGAGGAAGCCCCUGCUAACUACUUGCCAGCAGCCUCAGUAAUACGUAGGGGCCGAGCGUUUUCCGGAAUUACUGGGCGUAAAGAAAACGUAGGCGGCACUACAAGUCUCAGGUAAACUACGCGGGUUUAACUUGGGGGUUGAGUGGGAAACGGUAGAGCUUAAGUACAGGAGGGGCAAGCGAAAUGCGUGUUGUGGCGGUGAAAUG
rnacentral:rRNA from 1 species